CGUGCCAGCAGCCGCGGUAAUACGAAGGGGGCUAGCGUUGUUCGGAUUUACUGGGCGUAAAGGGUGCGUAGGCGGAUUGUUAAGUCAGGGGUGAAAUCCCGAGGCUCAACCUCGGAACUGCCUUUGAUACUGGCGAUCUUGAGUCUGGGAGAGGUGAGUGGAACUGCGAGUGUAGAGGUGAAAUUCGUAGAUAUUCGCAAGAACACCGGUGGCGAAGGCGGCUCACCGGCCCGGUACUGACGCUGAGGCACGAAAGCGUGGGGAGCAAACAGGAUUAGAUACCCUGGUAGUCCACGCCGUAAACGAUGA
rnacentral:rRNA from 1 species